rnacentral:rRNA from 1 species
AAACCGCCUAGAGGUAAACGGGUGGAUCCGCAAAGUCGGCCCGCGAAAUUCAGCUCGGAAGGCCCGGUCGCGGGCGGUGGGUUUUAAGAGAUCUCUCGUGGACUCUCCCGCUGCUCGACGCCGGUCGGACGUGUGCACUUUUCGUGGGCAGAGCGCCACGACCGGUUUUCGGGUGGUCAGAAGGCGGCGAGGAAGGUAGGUGGGCGCUUCGGCGUUUGCUGUUAUAGCCUCGCCUGUCCCGAUCCGCUCGGAGACCGAGGAGCCGCCGCUUGGCGCCUGGCUACCCUGCUCUCCUGGAGGAUUCGACUGGCAGAGACUGGGAAACCGUGUCUGCCGACCGUCUUUCCGGACGGACGGGGGUGCUCUUGAGCCUUGCCAAGCACAGGGUCGGUGGCGAAUCGGUCGGCACUCCACCCGACCCGUCUUGAAACACGGACCAAGGAGUCUAACAUGCGCGCGAGUCGUUGGGUGGUACGAAACCCGAAGGCGAAGUGAAAGCGAGGGCCGUCCUUUCUUCGGAAAGCGACGUGCUCAGGUGGGAUCCUGCGUUUCUUAUCUGGCGCGGGCGCACCACCGGCCCGUCUCGUUCGCGUCGUCGAUGAGGCGGAGCAAGAGCGUGCACGUUGGGACCCGAAAGAUGGUGAACUAUGCCUGAGUAGGAUGAAGCCAGAGGAAACUCUGGUGGAGGUCCGCAGCGAUUCUGACGUGCAAAUCGAUCGUCAAACUUGGGUAUAGGGGCGAAAGACUAAUCGAACCAUCUAGUAGCUGGUUCCCU